rnacentral:lncRNA from 1 species
AUGCUGGACGUGCGUUCCCUAGGGGCGCUGGUUCCCCAGGCCAGCUCUGGAGCAGGUGGAAAAGACGUUGGAGUCCAGGAAAGACAAAAGUUCCUGGCCCUUCUUCUCCACACCCUCCCCACCCUUCUCCCUAGCUGUGGGGGGAGGAGCUUCCGUCGAGGUCGGACGAGGCGUGGGGCCUUGCCCGCGGGUGAGUCCCCAGCCGCAUGGAAAGGCGCCGCCGACCUGCCCGAUCUGAGGCCUGCCCGGAGCUCCGGGACCCAAGGGGGUGGCUUCGGAAGGACGCUCCGCGUUUCCAUCCGUUUCUUGCCCUAUCUCCCAAAAUCUGGCCCCAGAAUCCCACCCUGGACGCCGCCCCAGGCCACUUCGGUCGCCCGGGGGCCUCACACAGGGAUUGCCCCGGUGGCGGGGCACCGGCUCAACAGCCCCUGAGAAAAUGCCAGCACCUGAGCUGUCGACUCAGGGGCCCUUCGUGCCUCCAGACCUCUGGGCACUAUUGCUAGUGAUUGCUGCACGGCCGUCGACUUCGAAAGCCACCUCCAUCCCUCUCUGGGCGCCGCCCCCCCCCCGCCCCCGAGUCGGCCAGGAGCUUGACAGGCGGCCUAGGAAAGAGCGGGCUAAUUCUCUGGCCGAGGCCCCACGUCGCCUGUGAAAAUCGCUUUAGGUUUUUGGGUGCGACCCGGAGCCUGGGCAGGUCAAGGACUACCGGCCAAGACAAAGGGGGGGGGGUGUGGAAUCGUUCCCACGCUCGCCGUCAUCCGAAAAGAAACCCAAGUCAAGAAAUCCGCUCUUGGCUGUACGGGCUGCCUUGAGCUGGCCUUUCCAGGGGCCGGGAGUGGGGCCCCCGAGGAGGCCGGGGGCUCUAGGUAGCCCGGGCCGGGGCUCAGGCUCCCGCCGCCCCAAGGCGCGCUCUCCCAGACUCCCUUGCGCCCGGGCGGGCGGGUCGGGGCCCUUCCGGCCGCCGCGGACCCCCGGGCUCCCGGGGGCGCCGCCACUCGGCUGCCGGGGCGGACCCGGCUCCCCGGCCGCUGCAGCCCCGCCCCGGCCGCGAUGCCCGGGCGGGGAAGCCCGAGAGUUGGCUCCCGGCCGGCCCAGGGCCCCUCCGGCCCGCAUUCCCGAGGCCUGAACGGCGAACAG